CAAACCAAAGACCUUAAGUGUGCAACCCAUUUGUUGAGUGAGAAAUUCAGAAAUAUGAGCGAGGAGAAGAAAACAAUUGUUAGGGAUUUGGGAUUUGGUGGCCUGAUGCACAUCCUGCCGCUAAGGGUGCAUCACCAAAUAUUAAGGGAGUUGGCUAACUCCUUUAAAUUAGGGAAAACAGACUCGAAACCGGCUACGGUUCUUUAAAGUAAGACCAAAAAUAAUAGGGGCUGCGCUUGGCAUCAACGCGUCAGAAGAUCUAUUUCCUCAGAAAGUCAAUUAUAAGGAUCUUUCUGAAGAUGACAAACAAAUUUUUAGAAGAUUCCAGGGUAAGACCCU